CAGAACAGUAUUCGAAUAUCUUAGGCGUUGAAAAAAAACAGACAAUCAUGAAUUUUAAAAAUUGUAUUCUGUUUUUAUCUUUGUUUGUUCAUUUGUCUAAAGCAAAUCCUGGGCUUUGCGAAGAUCCGUCGAUUCUAACCAGACUUCAUACAAAGAUUUUAGAACAAGGCAACGAUGUUACCAAGGAAACAGUAAUAGAGUACAUAAAACAACAAAACGUGAUGAGAGAUUUUGAUAUUUCUAUAUUCGAUAUCAAUAAGAUACUUUGUUCAGUGUGGAGUACUAAAAUGUCACCGAACGAAUUUAUAGCAGUAAUAACAUCAAAAUUUACUUUUUGGG